UUCCAGCAAAUAUUGAAAGAAUAAAGGGUCUCAAUGAAAGAUGUGCAGUGUCACAUGUUUAGUGUGAAUUGUCACAUGACCAGAGCUGUUUACUUCCUGGUUGCACCAUGAGAAGAGGAUGACUGCAUCAAAGCUCUCAAACAAAAGAACCUGAGCCCUAGGACCAUACGUCAGGACUACCGGGCAUGCUGACACCUUGCUGUCCCCAGUCCGCCCGGCCUUGCUGCUAUUCCAGUUUCAACUGUUUCUGCCUGUGGUUACGAAACCCCUACCUGUCCCAGACCUGCUGUUUUCAACUCUUAAUGAUCGGCUAUGAAAAGCCAACUGAGAUUUAUUCCUGAUUAUUAUUUGACCAUGCUUGUCAUUUAUGAACAUUUUGAAAAUCUUGGCUCUCUCUAAUUUUCUCCUUCUCUCUUUCUCUCGGAGGACCUGAGCCCUAGGACCAUACGUCGGGACUACCGGCCGUGGUGACUCCUUGCUGCCCCCAGUCCGCCUGGCCUUGCUGCUAUUCCAGUUUCAACUCUUCUGCCUGCGGUUAUGGAACCCCUACCUGUCCCAGACCUGCUGUUUUCAACUCUUAAUGAUCGGCUAUGAAAAGCCAACUGAGAUUUAUUCCUGAUUAUUAUUUGACCAUGCUUGUCAUUUAUGAACAUUUUGAAAAUCUUGGCUCUCUCUAAUUUUCUCCUUCUCUCUUUCUUUCUCUCGGAGGACCUGGGCCCUAGGACCAUGCGUCGGGACUGCCGCCCGUGGUGACUCCUUGCUGUCCCCAGUCCGCCUGGCCUUGCUGCUAUUCCAGUUUCAGCUGUUCUGCCUGCGGUUAUGGAACCGCCACCUGUCCCAGACCUGUUGUUUUUCAACUCUUAAUGAUCAGCUAUGAAAAGCCAACUGAAAAUUAUUCAUGAUUAUUAUUUGACCAUGCUUGUCACUUAUGAACAUUUUUGAACAUCUUGGCAUAGUUCUGUUAUAAUCUCCACCCGGCACAGCCAGAAGAGGACUGGCCACCCCUCAUAGCCUGGUUCCUCUCUAGGUUUCUUCCUAGGUUUUGGCCUUUCUAGGGAGUUUUUCCUAGCCACCGUGCUUCUACACCUGCAUUCUAGCUGUUUGGGGUUUUAGGCUGGGUUUCUGUACAGCACUUCGAGAUAUUAUCUGAUGUACGAAGGGCUAUAUAAAAUAAAAUUGAUUGAUUGAUGUGUA